rnacentral:rRNA from 1 species
GACGAACGCUGGCGGCGUGCUUAACACAUGCAAGUCGAACGGAAAGGCCCCUUUGGGGGUACUCGAGUGGCGAACGGGUGAGUAACACGUGAGUAACCUGCCCUUGACUUCGGGAUAACUUCAGGAAACUGGGGCUAAUACCGGAUAGGAAUCCUUGCCGCAUGGUGGGGGUUGGAAAGCUUCGGCGGGUUUGGAUGGACUCGCGGCUUAUCAGCUUGUUGGUGGGGUAGUGGCUUACCAAGGCUUUGACGGGUAGCCGGCCUGAGAGGGCGACCGGCCACAUUGGGACUGGGGUACGGCCCAGACUCCUACGGGGAGCAGCAGUGGGGAAUAUUGCACAAUGGGCGGAAGCCUGAUGCAGCAACGCCGCGUGCGGGAUGACGGCCUUCGGGUUGUAAACCGCUUUCAGCAGGGGCGAAGCUUGUGGUGACGGUACCUGCAGAAGAAGCACCGGCUAACUACGUG